rnacentral:rRNA from 1 species
UACGGGGGGAGCAAGCGUUGUUCGGAUUUACUGGGCGUAAAGGGCGCGUAGGCGGUCAGCACAAGUCAGUUGUGAAAUCUCCGGGCUUAACUCGGAAAGGUCAACUGAUACUGUGCGACUAGAGUGCAGAAGGGGCAACUGGAAUUCCCGGUGUAGCGGUGAAAUGUGUAGAGAUCGGGAGGAACACCGGUGGCGAAGGCGGGUCUCUGGGCAUUUCCUGACGCUGAGGCGCGAAAGCGUGGGGAGCAAACGGG